AUCCGUUUAGUUUCGAACUUUCCAUCGUCUCUUUUCUGUUCUCUUUCUCUCUCUUUGAGAUGGGCUCUGCGAACAACGGCCUUCCCUCCACCGCAAGGCCAUAUCCUUAUUCCACCGCCAAGCCCUCGAAGAAGGAUCUUCUAUCUUCUGUACCUUUUGAUCAGCUCGGAAACCAUGAAGACAAAAACCCUAACGUAAACCCUUCUGUUUUUCCUCCCACAAACUCAGACAUGGCGGCAAAUACAGCUCUCACCAUUGACGGAUCCGAGGAAGAUUUGAUUCUUCGUGACUCUGAGUUCCUCACCCGUGAAGAAGUAAUUCAGCGACGGUCUCGACGUCUGAAGCAACUAUCUAAGUUUUACAAGAAUCACUAUUGGGCUUUAAUGGAGGAACUUAGGGUUAAGUAUAGGGAGUAUUACUGGAAAUACGGGAAGAGCCCUUUUAAGGAAGAAGAGGAGAAGGACAAUGGUGGAGGAGGUGCAGGAAGUGUUGUGGAGGGAAGUGGAGAGAACAAUGGAGAAAAUAACAAUGAAGGGAAGAAUAAUCGGUGUGCUUUCGCAGGUUGUAAAGCGAAAGCCAUGGCGCUUACCAACUAUUGUCAUUCCCAUAUCCUUUCGGAUACAAAACAGAAGCUUUACAAAGCAUGUACAUAUGUCGUCAAAAGUUCACAAACAGGACCUGUUUUUUGUGGAAAGCCGACUCUAAGAUCUACUGUCCCUAUUCUUUGCACUGUCCAUUUCCAAAAGGCUCAAAAGCAUUUCACAAGGGCAUUGAAGAAGACGGGUCUUAAUAUCUCUUCUCCAAGCUCACUGGCCCCCAAGUUUCAUAUAAUAAUUGCUGAAUCUAUACGCCAAAUUCAAGCCAAAAGAAGAUUAACAUGAGGGAAAAUGUUGAUAAUCAUGUUAUUAAAGAGGAAAUUCUGGUUAAGCCUUCCACCACUGACUACUCAUAUGCUUUGAAUCAUAUAUGAAUGAUGGUCAAAGUACAUUGACACCAAAACUGAAGAAUGAGAAAUCUGAGUUGUUGGAGCAGGAUGAACUGUUGAGUGAGCAGCAAAUGUUGUCUUUUGAGGACAAUAACUCUUGCCUUUCUAAGGUGGAAGAAACACAGAUCACAGGGAAUGUUAUCUAUGGGAUGGCAGCAAAUGACUCAAUGGAACAGUAGCUACGAAGUUACAUAUGCAUGAAUACUUGGGGAACAAAUUGAUGGAGCUGUCAACAACCAACUCGUUUUUUUCCCAACUUCACGGGGUUGGUUGGAUCCAUAAGAAAGGCAACGAAAUAGGAAAAGAAGUCCGCAUAGAGUUGGGGGAAGGGAGAAAUGAAAGGAUGAAAGAUGAGAGUAAGAAGAAAGAGGUGCAGCCUACACAAGUCAAGAGAAGCUCAGCUACAUGGAGCUAUCAAUGGUGGUAAUAUAUAGCAGAUUCUUAAGGAUUCCAUAAUGUAUUUAAAAUAUUUUUGUUAUAAAUACAGUAGUCAUCUGAUGCAAAGUGAAUGCAGAAAUCUGUGAUAGUGGAGAUGGGACUCCUGAAGUAAACAUUGUAUAGCAUUGAUUCUUUUGAGCCGGCCAAAUUGCUAGAAAAGUAUAAGGCUCAUACAAUACAAAUACUUGCUGAUGUCAUUUAAAUUUGUUCUUCUCUCACUAAUGGAUGUUAAGCUUGGUUUGUUGGAAUUUAUUUUGAUCUUUGCGUGUUUAA